GCGCAGCCCAACACCGGCCGGCGAAAAGGUUCGGUCGCCUUGCCAAGUGUUGUCACCUUGCUCCUCACCUCAUGCUCCACGUUCUUCCCGAACCCUCCACCGCCUCGUUAAUACACUACCGUCCCGGGCGGCGGCCCUAGCUCGGCAACGGCAGCGCAGCCAUUAAAUUCUUUCCCGAGCGAUUGAUUUCGUGGAGUAGGAUAGGAGUAAAACCGAUCCAGCGCGUGCGUGCGUGUGUGGUGUUUGUUGGUCGGCGGCGAUGGACCAGGCGCAGCGCGAGAGCAGCCUGAGGUCCUACGGGUCGACCAGGUCGCUGUCCCGGUCGGGCGAGCAGGACCUGCUGUCGGACCCCGGCGAGCGGCGGGAGGUGGUCGUCAAGAUCGACGGCAACGGCAACGGACCCGCGCCCUUCUCCAUCUCCGGCCCCGUUCCCGGCGCGGACGUCGGCGCGCCGGCGGCGGCGGGGAAUGCGACCUCGAACGCCGCCACCUCGACGAAGCCGAGCAGGAAGCUGUCGAGCGCCGGCAGCUCGCCCACCAAGGGCUGGGACGACGGGACCUACGACUUCUGGAAGAACGAGGGCGGCGGGAAAGGGGGCGCCCCCGCGCGCCGCGUCGAGGACUUCAGCUUCAAGAACCGGCCGGCGAAGCCGCCGCCCUCGUCGCCGCCACUGUCCCCCUCGCUCGCGCCAACACAGCCCAACGCCGCCGCCGCGGCGGCGGCGGAGGGCGGCAGCGAGGACCCGCCCACGCGCCUCAUCGGGAACUUCCUCCGGAAGCAGAUGGCGUCCGGCGCCGAGCUCUCGCUCGACCUCGACCUGGAGAUGGAGGAGGACAUCGGGCGGUCGUCCUCGCAGCCGUCCAUGUCCCGCGACCGGGAGGCCGCGCGCGUUUCCUUCAAGGACCACAAGAGCUCCUCCUCGUCCUCUUCCUCCGACUCAGACGACGCCGGCGGGCGCCGCAGCCGCAGGCGCGGCGCCGAUGAUAGCGAGGUGAUACGCGGCCCCAACACGUCCACCCCGGCCGGAGCGGGGCCGCUGCUGCGCGCCAAGACGCGCUCCCGGCUCAUGGACCCGCCGCCGCAGUCGCCCGUGUCAGCGCGCGCCGUCGACGAGGAGCCGCGCAAGUCGUCCGCCCUGCGGCCGCCCAAGUCCGGCCAGUUCCCUUCGGGCCGCAUGACCGGCAGGUCCGGCCAGUUCCCUUCGGGGCGCAAGACCGGCAACAAGUCCGGCGCCGUCGGCAAGUCGGGCCCCAUGGAGGAGGAGGAGGACGACCCCUUCAUCGACGACGACAUCCCCGACGACUUCAAGCGCGGGAAGCUGGACACGCUCACCAUACUGCAGUGGAUCAGCCUGGUGCUCAUCAUCGGGGCGCUGGUCUGCAGCCUCACCAUCAAGAGGCUGGCCACGAAGAAGCUCUGGGAGCUGCACCUCUGGAAGUGGGAGCUCCUCGUCUUCGUGCUCAUCUGCGGCCGCCUCGUCUCCGGCUGGGUCAUCCGGAUCGCCGUCUUCUGCGUCGAGCGCAACUUCGUGCUGCGGAAGCGCGUGCUCUACUUCGUCUACGGCGUGCGCGGCGCCGUGCAGAACGCGCUCUGGCUCGGCCUGGUGCUCGCAUCCUGGCACUUCCUCUUCGACGAGAACGUCCCGACCAAAACGCUGGUGCUGCCCUAUGUCACAAAGAUACUCUUCUGCUUGCUCGUCGCCACGCUCAUCCGGCUUGUCAAGACGCUGCUGCUCAAGGUGCUCGCCUCCUCCUUCCAUGUCUCAACAUACUUUGAUCGGAUUCAAGAGGCGUUGUUCAACCAAUAUGUCGUCGAGACGCUCUCCGGGCCGCAGCUAGUCGACGAAGACUACGUGCUCGCCGAGGUGCGUGAGCUCCAACGCGCAGGCGCAACCAUCCCGAAAGAGCUCCGUGCCGCCUUGCCAGCCAAGAACCUAUCAGGGCAGAGGAGCAUCCGGAUCUCGGGUUUGAUUUCAAAAGGAGAAGGAAGCAGUCAGCUGUCAAAGGAGAAAAAACAGCGUGAGCUUGAUGAAGGGAUCACCAUUGACAAGCUCCAUAGGCUCAAUCAGAAGAAUGUUUCAGCAUGGAACAUGAAGAGGCUGAUGAAGAUUGUUCGGUUUGGGACGCUCACCACAAUGGAUGAGCAGAUUCAGCAGGCAACAGGAGAUGGGGAUGAGUCAGGGACACAGAUUCGCAGUGAAUAUGAGGCCCAAGUGGCCGCCAAGAAGAUCUUCCAGAAUGUAGCCAAGCCUGGAUCCAAGUACAUAUACUUGGCAGACCUGAUGCGCUUCAUGAGGCAGGAGGAAGCCAUCAAAGCUAUGCAUCUUUUUGAAGGAGCGCAGGAGCACUGUAGGGUCAGCAAGAGGUCUCUCAAGAACUGGGUGGUGAAUGCAUUUAGAGAGCGCAAAGCUCUUGCCUUAACACUUAACGACACAAAAACUGCAGUUAACAAGCUCAGCCAGAUGGGCAAUGUUGUCGUUGGCCUCAUUGUGUUUGCUCUCUGGCUUCUUAUUCUUGGCAUAGCGACGACGCAUUUCUUCGUCUUCAUCAGCUCGCAGCUUCUCGUGGCAGUCUUUGUGUUUGGGAAUACCAUGAAGACGAUCUUUGAGGCCAUUAUUUUCUUGUUUGUGAUGCAUCCUUUCGACGUGGGUGACCGCUGUGAAAUUGAAGAAGUACAGGUCGUUGUGGAGGAGAUGAACAUCAUGACAACUGUCUUUCUCCGAUACGAUAAUCUAAAGAUCUAUUACCCAAACAGUGUACUGGCUACCAAGCCGAUUUUCAAUUUCUACAGGAGUCCUGAUAUGGGAGAAGGGGUCGACUUCUCUAUUCAUGUUGCCACACCUGUGGAAAAACUGGCCCUCAUGAAGGAAAGAAUAUUACGUUACAUUGACUCCAAGAAGGAACAUUGGUACCCCGGCGCGAUGGUUGUCCUACGAGACGUUGACGACACCAACAAGCUGAAAGUAUCCAUCUGGCUCCGACACACGCUCAACUUCCAGGACAUGGGGAUGAGAUUCGUGAGGAGGGAGCUGGUGCUGCAGGAGAUGAUCAGGGUCCUGAAGGACCUCGACAUCGAGUACCGGAUGUUGCCACUUGACGUGAACGUGAGGAACGCGCCCCCUCUUCAGUCCACGAGGAUGCCGACGACAUGGAACUACUCCUGAAGCAGCUCUGGAUGCGCCGAGAAUAGCUUGUGAGAAACCGCAGAUACAGGAGUUAGCUUCCUCGUCUUGUGGUGAGAGCUGCAGGAGCCUGGUAGUAGCUAGCAGGUAGCAGAUAGACACAUAGAGUGAACAUUGGUGCGGUCCGCAGUGAAUGUGUUCUUUAGUAUGAGAAACUCUUGGUACAACUCUUCAGUGUAUCUGUGUAUGGAGGACCGCGACCUUUUUACAGAGAUCUAUAUGGUUGGAGGACACGCCAAAAGAAUUUAUUACCCAACAUGGGUGACACCAUAGCUUAGGGUUUCCUCCACCUCCAUAGGUAUCAUGUGUGUUUACAUGUGUUGGGUCUUUUAUUCCUUUUUGUAACCAAA